rnacentral:rRNA from 1 species
GAUGAACGCUGGCGGCGCGCCUAACACAUGCAAGUCGAACGAUUAAAGCACCUUCGGGUGUGUAUAAAGUGGCGAACGGCUGAGUAACACGUGGGCAACCUGCCCCUCUCAUUGGGAUAGCCACGGGAAACCGUGGAUAAUACCGAAUACUUCGGGACUUCCGCAUGGAAGACUCGAGAAAGCUCCGGCGGAGAGGGAUGGGCCCGCGGCCUGUUAGCUUGUUGGUGGGGUAAUGGCCUACCAAGGCAAUGAUGGGUAGCUGGGUUGAGAGACCGACCAGCCAGAUUGGGACUGAGACACGGCCCAGACUCCUACGGGAGGCAGCAGUGGGGAAUCUUGCACAAUGGGCGAGAGCCUGAUGCAGCGACGCCGCGUGCGGGAUGAAGGCCUUCGGGUUGUAAACCGCUUUCAGCAGGGACGAGGCGAAAGUGACGGUACCUGCAGAAGAAGCCCCGGCUAACUACGUG